rnacentral:pre_miRNA from 1 species
UUUUUAAAUUUUCAUCUAUUUCUACUGUUAAAACUAGUUUCACUGACGAAAUAACUAUACAAUGACACGUGACAUCCCACGUGUAUCUCAUGUUGAUAUACAAAUAUAAGCUUUUAACAGUUGAAAUAAAUUAAAAUCUUAAUA